rnacentral:rRNA from 1 species
GUGGAGGAGUAAGCGCACAUGGUGGAUGCCAUGGCGUCAGGAGGCGAAGAAGGACGUGCAAAUCUGCGAAAAGCCCAGGUAAGCUGAUAAGGGGCGCAAUAGCCUGGGAUAUCCGAAUGGGGCAACCCAACACGCAAGUGUUACUUAGUACAAAAGUACUAAGGGCGAACCGGGGGAAGUGAAACAUCUCAGUACCCCGAGGAAAAGAAAUCAACCGAGAUUUCCUCAGUAGCGGCGAGCGAACGGGAAGGAGCCCAAAAGUUGGCGGCAUACGAGUAGAACAGCAUGGGAAGGCUGACGGAAGAGGGUGAUAGUCCCGUAUACGGAAGUGUGCUGACGAUGAGCGAGAGUAGGGCGGGACACGUGGUAUCCUGUCUGAAGAAGGGGGGACCAUCCUCCAAGGCUAAAUACUACCUGACGACCGAUAGUGAACCAGUACCGUGAGGGAAAGGCGAAAAGAACCCUGGUGAAGGGAGUGAAAUAGAAUCUGAAACCGUGUGCGUACAAGCAGUGGGAGCCCUACGGGGUGACUGCGUACCUUUUGUAUAAUGGGUCAGCGAGUUAUCUGCAUUAGCGAGGUUAACUUUGAUGAGGGAGCCGUAGGGAAACCGAGUCUUAAUAGGGCGAAUAGUUGAUGCAGGUAGACCCGAAACCGAGUGAUCUAGUCCUGGACAGGCUGAAAGCAGGGUAACACCUGCCGGAGGGCCCAACCUACUGUCGUUGCAAAGCCAGAGGAUGAUCUGGGACUAGGGGUGAAAGGCCAAUCAAACCCGGUGAUAGCUGGUUCUCCCCGAAAGCUAUUUAGGUAGCGUCCUGCAGGGGCGGAUGGGGGUAGAGCACUGUUAUUGGAAGGGUUCCAUUGCGGGAUACCGACCAAUUGCAAACUACGAAUACCAUUCAGUUGUAAGCAGGGGACACACAGUGGGUGCUAACGUUCAUUGUGAAGAGGGAAACAACCCGGACCGUCGGCUAAGGUCCCGAAGUUCUGAUUAAGUGGGAAACGAUGUGGGAAGGCAUAGACAGCCAGGAUGUUGGCUUAGAAGCAGCCAUCAUUAAAAGAAAGCGUAAUAGCUCACUGGUCGAGUCGGCCUGCGCGGAAGAUGUAACGGGGCUAAAAUCAGACACCGAAGCUGCGGAUUUGCAUGAAGAAUGCAAGUGGUAGGGGAGCGUUGUGUAAGCCUGAGAAGCGGGCAAGGGAUUGUUCGUGGAGGUAUCACAAGUGCGAAUGCUGACGCAAGUAACGAUAAAACGGAGAAAUAAACCGUUCGCCGGAAGACCAAGGUUUCCUGUUCAACGUUAAACGGAGCAGGGUUAGUCGGUGCCUAAGGCGAGGCUGAAAAGCGUAGUCGAAGGGAAACGGGUUAAUAUUCCCGUACCGUGUUUCAUUGCGAUGGGGUGACGGAGAAGGUAAGGCUGGCCGGAGAAUGGAAGUUCCGGUGAAAGACUGUAGGUAGGGACGUGGGUUAAAAGACAUGUUCCGAUGAUCUGAGAGUUGAGACGAGGUACUAAGGUACUGAAGCAGUUGUGGCCAGGCUCCCAGGAAAAGCCCCUAAGCUAUAGAUGAGACAGGCCGUACCCCAAACCGACACAGGUGGUCGGGUAGAAGAUACCAAGGCGCUUGAGAGAACCCGGGUGAAGGAACUAGGCAAAAUUGUACCGUAACUUCGGGAGAAGGUACGCUGAGCUAAGUGAGAAGACACGCUCUUUGAGCUAAGCUCAGCCGCAGAUAAAUGGUGGCUGGGACUGUUUAACAAAAACACAGCACUCUGCAAACCUGAAAGGGGAAGUAUAGGGUGUGACACCUGCCCGGUGCCGGAAGGUUAAAUGAUGAGGUUAGCGCAAGCGAAGCCUUUGAGUGAAGCCCCGGUAAACGGCGGCCGUAACUAUAACGGUCCUAAGGUAGCGAAAUUCCUUGUCGGGCAAGUUCCGACCUGCACGAAUGG